rnacentral:rRNA from 1 species
CAUCUGGAAACGGGUGCUAAUACCUUAUAAUAUCUUCGGAUCAAAGAUUUAUCGCCUAGGGAUUAGCCCGCGUCUGAUUAGAUAGUUGGUGAGGUAACGGCUCACCAAGUCGACGAUCAGUAGGGGGUCUGAGAGGAUGAUCCCCCACACUGGGACUGAGACACGGCCCAGACUCCUACGGGAGGCAGCAGUGAGGAAUAUUGGACAAUGGAGGAAACUCUGAUCCAGCCAUGCCGCGUGAGUGAAGAAGGCCUUCGGGUUGUAAAGCUCUUUCAGAUGCGAAGAUAAUGACGGUAACAUCAGAAGAAG